rnacentral:rRNA from 1 species
ACUACGGGUGGCAGCAGUGGGGGAUAUUGCACAAUGGGGGGAACCCUGAUGCAGCGACGCCGCGUGGGUGAAGAAGCGCCUCGGCGCGUAAAGCCCUGUCAGCAGGGAAGAAAAUGACGGUACCUGAAGAAGAAGCCCCGGCUAACUACGUGCCAGCAGCCGCGGUAAUACGUAGGGGGCAAGCGUUAUCCGGAUUUACUGGGUGUAAAGGGGGCGCAGACGGCGAUGCAAGCCAGGAGGGAAAGCCCGGGGCCCAACCCCGGGACUGCUCGUGGAACUGCGUGGCUGGAGUGCAGGAGGGGCAGGCGGAAUUCCUGGUGUAGCGGUGAAAUGCGUAGAUAUCAGGAGGAACACCGGUGGCGAAGGCGGCCUGCUGGACUGCAACUGACGUUGAGGCUCGAAAGUGUGGGGAGCAAACAGGAUUAGAUACCCCAGUAGUC